GUUUGGAUUGAUGCCAUAUCUAGAUCUUAACCUUCUUAGACAUGUGGAACCUAAGAUUCAGUUCAGUGCUUCAGUGAAGGUGGAAGAUUGAAGUGCAUCCCCUGAAGCGGCUGCGGAGCGCUCCCCUCCCUGCCUGCAUACACUCAAGAAAGGGACUUUUAAUCUCUCCGGACAAAAGGUUUAUUAAGGAAAGAAAUGGGGUCACAGGAUACCUAGGUGAGCCCAAGAAACAGUGCAGGAGGCCAACAAGCCACGGGGAAAGGAAGGAAAAGGACUCAAAUUCUCUUUGAGGCUUUGCAUGGUUAAUAAGACAUGUGGAUUCCAGCUGUUUCUUAGACGGGACCACAGCUUGCAGUUUCCAGAAUGAAGGAUGGCUUUCCAUCUAAGGAACUUGGAAGAUUCUCUUGGCAGGUUGUUAUGAUAUAAGCUAGAUAUUUCCAGUUAUUCUUUAUUUUUAUUGUUUUCUAAAACCAGUUCCAUCCUGCCUAGAAAUUCGGAAAGUGCUUCUAAAGUUUGCAAUAGGAAAUGAGAUUUCUUGUCAUUCCUUCAGUCUCCUUUUCUCAUUUACUUUAACAAAUGUGGUCUUUAUUACUUUUUGGAUGAGGCCUCUGUCUGUGUCUCACUGAGACCUGCUGGUGGUGACGGCUGUCUGUCAUUAUGCUUCCAAAGCAAACUGAGUACCCAUGCAAGCACAGAGGAGAUGGAAUAAAGGACCAUACCAAAUGGGAGCAGCAACAGCAGCUUUUUUGAAAGUUUAAGAACAGCAACCAUACCUCAAACUUCAAGGGUGACUGAUCAAAGUCAUCUGACAGGUUCACUUCAGCACGGACUCACCCCUGCUCUUCUGUAAUUCACGCAUUGCCAGAGCUGUGCGUGACUUCUGCUCCUCCACAUCCAAUGAGAACUUAAGGAAGAUUUGCCGUUUCUCUACUAAACCAGGACUCGUUUUCUGUUGCCUGUAGUCAUUUGGUAUGAUUUAUCCUUUAGGUACUAUUUUUGGGACCACCUAUAACAAAAGUAAAAUGUAAAUUUCUCUGAUGUGUAAAUGCUUAUUAUGCAUGGAUUGUGUCAUUAUUUAUUGUAUAUGCUAUCUAGACAGUCCUCUUGUAUUAUUUUAAAAUUAUUUUUUUUUGGCUAGAAUACAAAGUAAUGGGUUUGAUCACGGCAUUUUCAAAUGUAUAUGUCAAUGUACAAAGUCCUUGUGGAACUAACUUUCUGCCACUGUUCUCUUUUGUGACCCCCCAACCCCCAUCCUGCUCAUUCCCUUUCCCCUCUCAUGAAAGGACCUUGGAAUGCUCAUUAAAUUAUUUAGUCAGGA